ACCCGCUGAAAGUCACCCGUGGCCUCGCCUGUGGCGAUGGGUGAGAUUUGGCGCCCAGAGCACAGGGGCUUCAGCUCAUGGUCCACUUCUGGUGUGGGGAGGUGAAACCCAGGCCCCGACAACG